GGUUAAGCGACUAAGCGUACACGGUGGAUGCCCUGGCAGUCAGAGGCGAUGAAGGGCGUGCUAAUCUGCGAUAAGCGCCGGUAAGGUGAUAUGAACCGUUAUAACCGGCGAUACCCGAAUGGGGAAACCCAGUGUGAUUCGUCACACUAUCAUUAACUGAAUCCAUAGGUUAAUGAGGCGAACCGGGGGAACUGAAACAUCUAAGUACCCCGAGGAAAAG
rnacentral:rRNA from 2 species